rnacentral:rRNA from 1 species
CUAUAAUGCAAGUCGAGCGGACAGAAGGGAGCUUGCUCCCGGAUGUUAGCGGCGGACGGGUGAGUAACACGUGGGUAACCUGCCUGUAAGACUGGGAUAACUCCGGGAAACCGGAGCUAAUACCGGAUAGUUCCUUGAACCGCAUGGUUCAAGGAUGAAAGACGGUUUCGGCUGUCACUUACAGAUGGACCCGCGGCGCAUUAGCUAGUUGGUGAGGUAACGGCUCACCAAGGCGACGAUGCGUAGCCGACCUGAGAGGGUGAUCGGCCACACUGGGACUGAGACACGGCCCAGACUCCUACGGGAGGCAGCAGUAGGGAAUCUUCCGCAAUGGACGAAAGUCUGACGGAGCAACGCCGCGUGAGUGAUGAAGGUUUUCGGAUCGUAAAGCUCUGUUGUUAGGGAAGAACAAGUGCAAGAGUAACUGCUUGCACCUUGACGGUACCUAACCAGAAAGCCACGGCUAACUACGUGCCAGCAGCCGCGGUAAUACGUAGGUGGCAAGCGUUGUCCGGAAUUAUUGGGCGUAAAGGGCUCGCAGGCGGUUUCUUAAGUCUGAUGUGAAAGCCCCCGGCUCAACCGGGGAGGGUCAUUGGAAACUGGGAAACUUGAGUGCAGAAGAGGAGAGUGGAAUUCCACGUGUAGCGGUGAAAUGCGUAGAGAUGUGGAGGAACACCAGUGGCGAAGGCGACUCUCUGGUCUGUAACUGACGCUGAGGAGCGAAAGCGUGGGGAGCGAACAGGAUUAGAUACCCUGG